rnacentral:sRNA from 1 species
GCUAGAAGCUUACACGUAUCUCUGGGUUUUCCAUGGGAAAACACAACAUAUCGGUAUCUAACAAUUCGACACGCGCUCAUCUCUAACGCUAGGAUCAUAACAGAAAAGACUGCACCGCUCUGCCUUAAGCCUCGCCGCGGAAUACGUACGAAAACGGAGACGGAGACGGCGACGUCGACUGCAGCAGACAGAAGAGAGAGCCUGGACUAGAGACAUAAAGAUCAACGAAAGAGAGUGCGAUAGACCCAGAGAGAGAGAGAGAGCGAGAUAGAGCGAGAGAGAGACAGGCAGACAGGCUACACACACACACACACACACACACACACACACACACACACACACUCAAGAUGAGCUCUUAUCUGGAACUUUUUGGAUUGUUCGUGCUGCUAAUGCUGCCUUUUCUAUACGAGACGAACCACAUAUUCCGAUAUUAUUUCAAGUUUUUAAUCUAUUAUGGAAUCGUCUCGUUUAACUCGAUCAUUCUGAUACCGGCGUUUCUCACACGGCCCUGCGAUGUGCGCAAUUUACUCUGGGCGAGCAC